UUAGUCCUACGGGAGGCAGCAGUGGGGAAUAUUGGGCAAUGGGCGCAAGCCUGACCCAGCAACGCCGCGUGAAGGAAGAGGGCUUUCGGGUUGUAAACUUCUUUUUUCGGGGACGAAGAAAGUGACGGUACCUGAGGAAUAAGCCACGGCUAACUACGUGCCAGCAGCCGCGGUAAUACGUAGGUGGCAAGCGUUAUCCGGAUUUAUUGGGUGUAAAGGGCGUGUAGGCGGGAGCGCAAGUCAGAUGUGAAAACUCAGUGCUCAACCCUGAGCCUGCAUUUGAAACUGUGUUUCUUGAGUGCUGG
rnacentral:rRNA from 1 species